AUUAUUGAUCUAUUUAGCAAGUGGGAACGAGAAGCAAGCAUGCGUACAGAGGAAGCAGGGCAUAGAAGCAAGCUGUUGGGUUUAAAAUCAGUAACAGUGAUCAUGGUGAUGGUGGAGUUUUUGGAUGUGGGGUUGAACAUUUUGAGCAAAGCAGCUAUGAAGAAAGGGAUGAGUAAUUUUGUCUUUGUUGUCUAUGCGAAUGCCCUCGCCCUCUUUGUCUUGCUUCCAUCUUCCUUCUUCUUCUACAGGAGAAGAACUUAUCCACCCCUCUCAUGGUCCUUCAUCUGUAAACUGUUCCUUGCUAGCUUUAUGAGCUCUGGUGCGCAGCUGCUAAAGUUUAUUGGAAUAAACUACAGCUCUCCAACUAUGGCCUCUGCAAUGAUUGAUCUCAUGCCAGCUUUUACCUUCAUUCUUGCUGUCAUCACUGGGAUGGAAAUUCUGGAUUUGAGAAUUACCAGUAGACAGGCCAAGUGCAUAGGCACAGUGGUCUCAAUCUCAGGGGCACUCAUGCUGACCUUAUACAAAGGCCUACCACUCAUAAGGGCCGAUGCAUCACAUAGUAAAUUAAUCAGUCUGCAGCUUCUUUUAUCCUCUCAAACGAACUGGUUCAUUGGAGGCAUUGUGCUUGCAUUUCAAAGCUUCUUGCUAGCAAUGAUGCAUAUUGCAGAGACAUGGGUUAUUAGGGACUACCCUGCAGUGCUGAUGGUUACAACGAUUCGGUGCAUGGAAGCUAAAGCCUGACAUUGAACUCAUAGCUAUUGGGUACAAUGCAACUUUUGAAGUAAUGCUAAGGACUGGUAUUCAUUUGUGGGCACUGAAUAUAAAGGGUCCUGUUUAUGUUGCCAUGUUCAAGCCGCUUGGUUUAGUCAUGGCACUUUUCGUUGGCGUGGCAUUUCUUGGAGAUACUCUUUAUCUUGGAAGGUUGCUGGGAGCGGCUAUAACAGUGGUAGGGUUUUAUGCCGUAAUUUGGGGGAAAGCCCAAGAAGAGAAGGAGAAGGCUCAAAUUGAUCAAACUGGAAGCUUUGAGUCAUUUCCUCAAUCAGAAGCAGAACCUCUUUUGCCUAAACGUUGUAAACAAGGCACUGAGGAGAAAAGUCUUUUGGAAAGAGUUUUUCUUAUUAAAUAGUUGAGAUGAUAUGUUGUGAAACCACAAAAAAAUUCUAUUUUUUUAUUUGAUAUAAGAGAUAACGAAGUAAGUAGAAUCGAACACAAUAUGUGUAACGUGGAUAAGUAAACAUUCUAGUAGUAACAAAAAAAUUGGAAUAAAGUCCAACUUUUAUUGGAGUGAGGUGAAA